CGGUGACCAGGUAACUAGGUAACCAGACAAGUAUACAAUUAGACAACUAGGCAACCAGAUAACCAGACGACAGGCAACCAAACAACUAGAUAACCAGGCAACCAGGCAAGCCGACAAGUAGGCAGCAUUCUCUGAGGGGGACAUCCGCUGGCUCUGCUGGUCAACCUUCCCUCUAUCUUUUCCUGGCAGCAGAUUUUCCCUUAGGGAGCUUGUCCUCCUUCCCUACUCAGGGGAGGCACCUGUGACCUCUGCCUAAGCCAGUCAGCCAGUCAGGCUUACCCAAAGCUGAUUCUGGAACUUGACUAACCUAGAAGAGGCUGUUUCUUGCUGGACCUGCAGAGAGGAAGUGAGGUCUGAAGCUGUGCCACCCUUUUAAAUCUAAGACAGGAGCCAACCUGAAAGAGGCAAGGCUGGGAGAUGGGGAGACAUCAUUUGAGCCUUGAUUGAACCAUUCCUGAAGCUGCUGCCUUGGCGCCUUUAAGUUUUAUGAACCAGUGAAUUCUCUUUUUGCUGAAGCCACUUCACGCAGUGUUCCUUUCUUUGCAAAAGGAAGAACCCUGGCUGGGAUGAGAGUCCCUGAAACUUUGCUCCACUGACCUGCUGCUAGGAGUGAGGCCCCUCCCUGCUUGUGAUAGUCUUCCUGGAGCACCACCCAGGGCAUUGGUCAGGAGGCUUGGGCUCAAAUCUGGGACUGCUUUUAAUGAGUUGUGUCAAUGGACAUGUCCCUUCAGCUCUCGGGGCCUUGGGCUUCUCACAAAUAGCCAUGCCUUUCUGCCCUACUUUAGCUGUGAAUGGGGCUGAAUGUUAGUACCAUUUCCUGGGAGCCGUUGGUGUGGUAUGGAGGUCAGGAACAUGGCUGACUCAAAUCUGGCUUUCAGAGUCUGAUAACCAAUUGCUCCAGGGUGUGUAGCCAGGGCUUUCCUGCUGCUCUCUUCUUCAUUUGGGGAAGUCUCUGGCUCCCAGCCAGGGUCAGAGCCCAAUGCUGUGGCAGCUAAGCCUUCUUCUCCAUUCCUGGCUUGCUCACGGGAGGCACCUGUGACCUCCACCUAAGCCAAUCAGCCAGUUAGGCUUACCCAAAACUAAUUCUGGAACUUGACUAACCUAGAAAAGGCUGUUUCUUGCUGGACCUGCAGAGAGGAAGUGAGGUCUGGAGCUGCGCCACCCUUUCAAAUCUGGGACAGGAGCCAACCUGAAAGAGGCAAGGCUGGGAGAUGGAGAGACAUUAUUUGAGCCUCGAUCGAACCAUUCCUGAAGCUGCUGCCUUGGAGCCUUUAAGUUUUAUGAACCAAUGAAUUCCCUUUUUGCUUAAGCCAGUUCUUUAUUUCUUUGGGCCCUAUCUCUGCCUCAAAUCAGUGUACAGGAGGCUUCAGCACAUCAUUUUAACAAUGAUUUUAUCAGGAAAUUCCCAUCUGUGCUCAUAACUCAGCCUUUAAUUGGUGGAAAUUACCGGUCCCAUAUGCUUAGAGCUGUGGUUUUCAAAAUGUGAGCUCCAGACCAACAGAACCAGCAAUUACUUGGGAACUGGUUAGAAAUGCAAAUUUUCGGGCCGCAUUCUAUACCUGCUGAAUCAGAAACUCUCGGGGUGCCCCCAGCAAUGUGUGGUUUAAGAAGUCUGCCGGGUGAUUCUGAUUCUCACUCAAGUGUGCGAACCACCUGCUUGGAGCUUUUGCUGGUUCAAAAGGUGCACAUAGAGGAUGAUCUGGCACUGCCUGGAUCUCCUUUGGCUGCAGAUGGGCUGUUCCCCAGCAGCAGCGAAUGAGUAUUUGCUGCUAACGGCUUCCAGCUGUUCCUUCUCCCUGCACUAAAUCUGCCUUCCACGGGCCAUGGCCAGUGCCUGAUGGGCAUGGGGGUAUACCAGGCUGGUCUCUUUGUCCAGUGGACCAGAGAGGGACACUCCAAUGUGAAUUACUUUCUAGCCCCUCUGUGAAUUAGGCCAGAGCUAGACUUUAAAUGCUCAAGUCACUGCUUCUUCCAAACGCCUAGCUGUUUUUGGGACCACAGGUGUGAGUUACCGUACAACACCCUGGUGAAAAAAAAAGUCACUUGGCUUUGCAAAAUUAAAAUAAGCGUGCUUGAUUGCUUGAUUAUCCUCCUCUGCAGGCUGGUUUUAAAGUCAACCAGGAGAGCCUCUGACUGUCAUCUGGUUUGCAGGUCCUGGUGGCCAUCAGCUGUGAUUGGGUCAUUCUCCUCUUUGUAUCAAAGAAUCAACACUUCCACCCCUUGGCCCAGACCUCACAGGGACAUGUUUCAUGGUAGCCUAAGAGAUACAAAAAACUUGUCAACUGCUUUCUUCCUCUGACUGCCCUUCCUGAGAAGGGAGAAGGGAAAAAUAUUUACUUUUUGUUCUCAAUUAUCAAAGAGAAAGGCAAGAUGCCAGUUACUUUCCCAGUUAAUUUCUGAGGGGUAACAGAAAGUUUGGCGAGUGUGUUUGUGUGACUGUGUGUUUGUGUGUGUGGCUGUAUGUUGGGUGUUGGGGUGUGUUUGCUUGUUUGUAUGUGUUUGUGUGUCUGAGUGUGUGCAGAUGGAUGUGGAAGUGUGUUUGUGUGUUUGUGUGUGUGUAGAUGGAUGUGGAAGUGUGUGUGUCUGUGUGUGUGCAGAUGGAUGUGGAAGUGUGUGUGUCUGUGUGUGUGCAGAUGGAUGUGGAAGUGUGUUUGUAUGUCUGUGUGUGUGUGUACAGAUGGAUGUGGAAGUGUGUUUGCACGUGUGAGCCUGGGGCUUGGGUUCUGUGACAGCCACAGCAAUGGGGCCAGAGCCCCAUCACUCCCCAGAAGAUGUCAGCCCCUCCCUCAGUGCCAGGCCUCACAGCUGACACAGCAUUCAGCUGCUAUCUCUUGGAGCCUGCUGGGGGCACAGAUGGUGUCACUCAACAGGACGGUGGGAUAAACUGUCAGCUCCAGCCACUUCCCUGCUUUGAUACUUCAGGGCUCUGAGGUUCUGCAAAAACAAUUAUCUGGGUAAUUAUGGCCCUAAACAUACUCUGAAGUCUGGGAGGAAGGAGAAGUAAAAAUAUAAAAAGACCAGAUGGGAAUAUAGGAAAACAUUUACAGCAUUAACUUUUUUCCUGGGGACUGUGAUUAUGGGUGAUUUCUAUUUAUGUCUUUGUGUUUAUUUGCAUUUUUGAAAUUUUC
rnacentral:lncRNA from 1 species